CUGCGGAUUGGGCGCCGCCGACGGGGCGGGUGCGGGUGCCUGUGUGGCCGGAAGCGGCCGGUGUCUGGGUGUGGCUGCGGCUAAGCAGGUAGCGCUCGGGGAGCGCGUGGAUGAGUGACCACGCCGAGCACGGCGGCGGCUCCGAAGUGGAGAGGUGGAAGGAUGUUUGACCCACUGGGACCGAGCAGUUACACAGAUCUCUGCUCCAGCUAACUCCAUCUUCAACACUGAACCAUGGACAGGAGUCUCCCAAACUGAUGGUCUCUGAGGUCAGCAUAGCCCAUGUCAGAAGAAAGCAUGACAUGUUUCAGGAAGAUUAAAGCCUACAGCAUUGCACUUGA